rnacentral:lncRNA from 1 species
AUCAGUACACUCAAAGCAAAGCUAUGCCAUGAAGUCUCCAGAGACCUUUGCACAGGCUGUAAAUCCCGCAAUAGCCUAGGCAACACCUACUCCUCCUAUCAGAGAAGAAUUCAAAUUCAUUACCACUCAAGUAAUGCCCAUUAUUGCUUUGGAUAAGGAAUAUGAGGGCUAUCCUCUAGAACAGCUUAUUAAACCAGUCUACAACUACAAAAUUUUGUGGAUACAGAAAGUCCACUUAAAACUAGA